UAUACUGGAAGAUCUCUGACAUUUGGAUUCUACAUCUCUUCAUUCUCUCCUUCCUCACCAACAUCUUGUGUCUCAGUUAACUGCAGUUACUAUGAUGCCGCUGGGCUUGAAUUAACAGGCCACUUCUCUCAGAGGUGACUGAGCCACUGCAUUCAAUUCUAGUCACCAGUCACAUCAUUUCCCUCACGGCCAGCUUCUUCUGUCCUCAGAAUCAGCAAGGCUGCACUUACUGACCUUCCUGCUAUAAUCACUGGUUCCUCUGACUGCUCCUUCUUCUGCCUCUCUCUUCUACAUUCAAGGAUCCUUCUGAUGACAGUGUGUCCGCCUGGACACCACAGGAGGGGAGACAGCUGUGCAGUGCCUUCCUAGGAGAAAUGACUUCAAGACUGGCAAUAGGCAAAGAUAGGUUGAUCA